AGGACGAACGCUGGCGGCGUGCUUAACACAUGCAAGUCGAGCGGUAAGGCCUUUCGGGGUACACGAGCGGCGAACGGGUGAGUAACACGUGGGUGAUCUGCCCUGCACUCUGGGAUAAGCCUGGGAAACUGGGUCUAAUACCGGAUAUGACCUGCUCUCGCAUGGGGGUGGGUGGAAAGAUUUAUCGGUGCAGGAUGGGCCCGCGGCCUAUCAGCUUGUUGGUGGGGUAAUGGCCUACCAAGGCGACGACGGGUAGCCGACCUGAGAGGGUGACCGGCCACACUGGGACUGAGACACGGCCCAGACUCCUACGGGAGGCAGCAGUGGGGAAUAUUGCACAAUGGGCGAAAGCCUGAUGCAGCGACGCCGCGUGAGGAUGAAGGCCUUCGGGUUGUAAACCUCUUCAGCAGGACGAAGCGCAAGUGACGGUACCUGCAGAAGAAGCACCGGCUAACUACGUGCCAGCAGCCGAC
rnacentral:rRNA from 1 species